CAUCACAAGAAGAAGCACCCGCUUCUCACCUGAUUGACACAUUCUUGUAGUUGGCAGGUUAACCGUACAUUUUUAAUUAUUUCCUUAAAUGUUCGAGUGUGGGUGCCGUCUGUGGUGCCCGCACUUUUUGUUUGCC
rfam:Bacillus gobiensis strain FJAT-4402 chromosome.